AAAAUCCCUCUCUCUCACCCGUGACGCCCCCCCUCUCUCCUGCGACCCCAAAACUUCGCCGGGAUCCGCCACAACCGGCAACGGCGAGGCCAGAGGUGGCUGGAUCCUGCACAGUCGCCAUGGUGCGGACGGCGACGACGGCUGGAGGGGCGCACAUCCGUAGGACGGGACACUGCCAUGGAGAUGGAGCUCCUUCUCCCCACGACGCAGAGGCCCAGAGCCUCCCUCCUUCUCCGGUGACUUGUUCUCAGGCCCCACCGCCUACCUCUGCCCCCUCUCCUUUGUUUCAGAUCUAUCCACCCAUCGAUGAUACAUGGCAAGUUAGGGAGUUGUUGCAGUUUGAGGUUAAUCACCUUGAUCGGCUGCUGUUUAAUUAGGGUUGAUUAGAUUAAUUAGCUCAGUUGGCUUCUAGAGUUUAGGAAUGAAUAUAUGGGUAUGACGUGCUCUCCAAAUUUAGGAUUGAAGUAUUUUGUUGCUGCAUUCAAGUGAUCUGCAGUUUUAGGCCAUGUUUGAUGGCAAAGUCUUGGAUAACCCAAAGUAUUUGAAAACUACAGUAUUUUAAUCUAUAGGCAUAAGAUACCACAGUUUUGACAUACAGAAGUUUUCUAGAGUAUUGAGAAUACUGCAAACAUGUUUGGCUAUUGCUUACAUAAAACAUAAAUUAGCAAUUGUUCACAGUUGCAAACACGCAUGUAUGUACCAAGCUCCCUGGUCCUUGCAUACUUGGACAACCGCAUACAUAAACUUGAAAGGCCAUGCACAUAGCUAGCUUACCAAAAGCGGGGGCAGUUCAACUACCAGGAGCAAAGCUACUGGCUGCGCGUGGGCUGGAACACUCCGCCAUCAUCAGCGUCACCGUCGAGGGUCACCAUGGGAACGUCCACGGUGGUGCCGACGGUGCACCAACAUUAACUCAGAAUAGCAAACAAAGCUCAGUCCACUUAUAACCAAUGAUUGUGCAUGAUGCAUCCAUCCAUUCUAUCGGAGAGGCUGUGUUAUUUUUUCUUCUUGUGCUAAGAUUGAUAGCAUCAAGCAUUAUAUGCUUUUGUUUCUCAAGUAGAGCCUUGUGAGAUAGAUGUGUGUGCCACCGUCCUUGAAUGGGGUGCCUGUUCGACUGCUUCCGCGCGGCCGGCGGCGAGCCGCGCCCGCGCCCAGCUCGUCUCCUCCUCCGUCGCCCCGUCCGCCAACCCCAAGGUUUCCUCUUCUUCUUCUGUCCUGCCUCGCACGAAACCCGUGUGUGCCGUUCCCGGACACGGAUCAGCUAGCUGUGGGGGUGCGGAACCCGUGCUGAAUUUUGUCUGACUAGUGACGCAUGUGCAUCAGUUUCAGCAUUUUCAGUACACAAAGAGGGAUUAUGUCUUUAUAUGCAGUCGAACUACAUGAUUCAGUCCAAUACUGGUUGUAUAGUUAGCUUCCCUCGAAAUACAUGAUUCGUAUUGGGUUAAUAAUCUGCAGCUAGUUGUAUUUUUAAUUCACUAGCCUUUUACUCAUACAUGAGAGAAGUGAGAAGCUAAGUCAAUAGGAGCUAAACUCAACCCUUGGCUUGUUACGUGAGCUCAAACUAGUGACUAGUGAGUGUUUCAUGUACCGAACUUGGAUUUCCGGUGUUUUUGUAACAUCCAUGUAAGGUGCAUAGCAGCCCUAUUUUAUGCUAGAUCCUUUGUUUAACCAAAUUAGUUAGGGAUGAUAGCCCACUCAUGAGCAAUAUUGCGAGAUGUUGGUUGCCUUUUAGAGAAAAUCUGGAUCGUGGGGUGACUCUGGCUGUAAACUGAACUUGGUUCAGUUAAAAACUGCACUGUCAAAUCUGGACAGCAAGCUUAUAUCUGAAAAAUGAGUUAGCUAGGCUCAGAAUUUUGAUUUGGCCCCUUUACAUAAGUUUUAGAUAAAGUUCCAAGGUUUCUUUAGAGUAUUUAUUGUGUCGUUUGGAUGUAUGGUUUGAGAGCAGCCAUCAGUUUAGUUUGCUGUCCCGAAAUAUAUGUUCCUGGGUACAGUAUUUUGAUAUGGGAGAUUAGGCCCUGUUAGAGGUGGUAAUAAAAUAAAGUUACAACAUGAAAAUUUUAGAGGCUGUUCUGUAGAUACUUAAACACAUAUCACUUGUCAGGUUUCGUUCGGUAUAUUAAAUCCUAUGAAAUUAUCAAAGUGGGCUGUACUAUGUUGGACAGAAUUUUAUGUUUGGACUUGGGUGAAUGUAACCAGACUUAUACUCUCAGAUUUGUCAUAGUUGAUGGUGUGAGGACUUAUAAUGUGAUAAAGUAUAUACAUUGUUGCAACACCAAAAUCAGUGAAAUAUAUUUCCUUUUUUUGCUGCCGAUGACAUCUCCUGGAAUCUUGACUCCAUAAAGUAAGGAUUUAGAUAACAUCAUAUGUUCAGAGUUUAGUUCUUUUCUUAUCUGAAACUAACAUAUUUUACAAUGGGCAUGAUGGAUGUUGCAGGUUCAUUGAUGACAGCCAAGGGUUCAUGCUCGGAAAUGACUACAUCUUGCUCCAUGUUGUCGGCUCAGCUAAAGUCCUUAAUCAUGAGGAGAUGGGACACGUCGAUUGUUACAGUACACUCGACAGAGGUGAUCGACGCUGACUAGCACGGCCCGGUGGCGCCGUGCUCUUCAACCACUCAAAGACGGACUUCGCCGUGAAGCCUGGUUGCCACGUUGCAUAGAUGAUCGUCCAGGUGAUUUCGACGCCGAAGGUCGCCGAGGUGGAGGACCUUGACGCCAUCGUCCGGGGGAGGGAGGAUUCGAGUCCACCGACUUUUGAACUCCGAGCCUAGGUAGAUACAUCUAGAGAAGUGGUCUGUUUAGGUUGGUGAUAGACCACUAGGGAAGGUACCCACCUUACGAUGAUGGUUGUGUGUGUCUGAUGUUAAAUGGAAUCUUGAGAUGGUUCUGUGACAUGUUAAAUGGAAUAUUGAGAUGGUUCAGUGA